rnacentral:rRNA from 1 species
AUGAACGCUGGCGGCGUGCCUAAUACAUGCAAGUCGAGCGAACAGACGAGGAGCUUGCUCCUCUGACGUUAGCGGCGGACGGGUGAGUAACACGUGGAUAACCUACCUAUAAGACUGGGAUAACUUCGGGAAACCGGAGCUAAUACCGGAUAAUAUAUUGAACCGCAUGGUUCAAUAGUGAAAGACGGUUUUGCUGUCACUUAUAGAUGGAUCCGCGCCGCAUUAGCUAGUUGGUAAGGUAACGGCUUACCAAGGCAACGAUGCGUAGCCGACCUGAGAGGGUGAUCGGCCACACUGGAACUGAGACACGGUCCAGACUCCUACGGGAGGCAGCAGUAGGGAAUCUUCCGCAAUGGGCGAAAGCCUGACGGAGCAACGCCGCGUGAGUGAUGAAGGUCUUCGGAUCGUAAAACUCUGUUAUUAGGGAAGAACAAAUGUGUAAGUAACUAUGCACGUCUUGACGGGACCUAAUCAGAAAGCCACGGCUAACUACG